rnacentral:rRNA from 1 species
UUCUCAGUUCGGAUCGGAGUCUGNAACCCGACUCCGUGAAGCUGGAUUCGCUAGUAAUCGCGCAUCAGCCAUGGCGCGGUGAAUACGUUCCCGGGCCUUGUACACACCGCCCGUCAAGCCAUGGAAGCCGGGGGCGCUUGAAGUGCGUUGCCGCAAGGCGCGCCCUAGAGCGAAACCGGUGACUGGGGCUAAGUCGUAACAAGGUACC